rnacentral:tRNA from 1 species
GUUCUUGUAGCUAAAUGAUAGCGGCAGUUUUUCAGAUUGCAGGUCUCAGAGAGAAUCUGAGCAGGAAUU